rnacentral:rRNA from 1 species
UUCCGGUUGAUCCUGCCGGACCCGACUGCUAUCAGAGUGAGAUUAAGCCAUGCGAGUUAACGUAGCAAUACGUGGCGCACGGCUCAGUAACACGUAGUCAACAUGCCCAGAGGACGUGGAUAACCUCGGGAAACUGAGUCUAAACCGCGAUAAGUGAGGAUUUCUGGAAUGGUUCCUGACUAAAAUCUAUAUGGCCUCUGGAUUGGACUGCGGCCGAUCAGGCUGUUGGUGAGGUAAUGGCCCACCAAACCUGUAACCGGUACGGGCUCUGAGAGGAGGAGCCCGGAGAUGGGCACUGAGACAAGGGCCCAGGCCCUAUGGGGCGCAGCAGGCGCGAAACCUCUACAAUAGGCGAAAGCCUGACAGGGUUACUCUGAGUGAUUUCCGCUAAGGGGAUCUUUUGGCACCUCUAAAAAUGGUGCAGAAUAAGGGGUGGGCAAGUCUGGUGUCAGCCGCCGCGGUAAUACCAGCACCCCGAGUGGUCGGGACGAUUAUUGGGCCUAAAGCAUCCGUAGCCGGUUCUGCAAGUCUUCCGUUAAAUCCAGCCGCUCAACGGAUGGGCCGCGGAGGAUACUACAGGACUAGGAGGCGGGAGAGGCAAGCGGUACUCAGUGGGUAGGGGUAAAAUCCUUUGAUCCAUUGAAGACCACCAGUGGCGAAGGCGGCUUGCCAGAACGCGCUCGACGGUGAGGGGUGAAAGCUGGGGGAGCGAACCGGAUUAGAUACCCGGGUAGUCCCAG